rnacentral:rRNA from 1 species
GACGAACGCUGGCGGCGUGCUUAACACAUGCAAGUCGAACGAAGUGGCGAACGGGUGAGUAACGCGUAAUCAACCUGCCCUUCAGAGGGGGACAACAGUUGGAAACGACUGCUAAUACCGCAUACUGAAGGAUGGGAUUGCGUCUGAUUAGCUAGUUGGAGGGGUAACGGCCCACCAAGGCGAUGAUCAGUAGCCGGUCUGAGAGGAGGAGCGGCCACAUGGGGACUGGGACACGGCCCAGACUCCUACGGGAGGCAGCAGUGGGGAAACUUCCGCAAUGGACGAAAGUCUGACGGAGCAACGCCGCGUGAGUGAUGACGGCCUUCGGGUUGUAAAGCUCUGUUAAUCGGGACGCGGUACCGAAAUAGAAAGCCACGGCUAACUACGUGCCAGCAGCCGCGGUAAUUC